rnacentral:misc_RNA from 1 species
AGAUAGGUUCAGUUCACCUUAGAGCAAUCGGUGGAUGCCACGACUGCAAUGGGUACGCUAGCACGACAUUUCUGUGGGAGUCCCGCGAGAAGGUCCGGUUUGAGGCGGGAGAUAGAGCUAAUGAAUCUCUUGAUGCAGACACAAGCAGUCUGGCGGUCAAGGGUCGUGGCUUCUAUGGAUUUGAGCUUACUAACUCCAGCGCAGCAACCAACGGGAACAGGCCCGUCGCUGCGAACAUAGCUGAUGCAGGGGUAUAACAUAGGCACAACCUGGCCACAUUUCAAGGCCGAGCCAAUCCGAGGCGCCGUGGCCGUCAGGAGGAU